GAGGGUAUAGCUCAGUGGUAGAGCACAUGUUUAGCAUGCAUGAGGUCCUGGGUUCAAUCCCCAGCACCUCCA
rfam:Camelus ferus unplaced genomic scaffold scaffold41, whole genome shotgun sequence.